rnacentral:rRNA from 1 species
AGAGUUUGAUCAUGGCUCAGGAUGAACGCUGGCGGUCUGCUUAACACAUGCAAGUCGAACGGGCUCUUUCGGGAGCUAGUGGCGGACGGGUGAGUAACGCGUGAGAAUCUGCCAAAAGGACUGGGACAACCACUGGAAACGGUGGCUAAUACCGGAUGAGCCGCAACGUAAAAGAGGAAACUCGCCUUUUGAGGAGCUCGCGUCUGAUUAGCUAGUUGGUGAGGUAAGAGCUCACCAAGGCAUCGAUCAGUAGCUGGUCUGAGAGGAUGAUCAGCCACACUGGGACUGAGACACGGCCCAGACUCCUACGGGAGGCAGCAGUGGGGAAUUUUCCGCAAUGGGCGAAAGCCUGACGGAGCAAGACCGCGUGAGGGAGGAAGGCUCUUGGGUUGUAAACCUCUUUUGUCAGGGAAGAACACAAUGACGGUACCUGAAGAAUCAGCAUCGGCUAACUCCGUGCCAGCAGCCGCGGUAAUACGGGGGAUGCAAGCGUUAUCCGGAAUUAUUGGGCGUAAAGCGUCCGCAGGUGGCUAAUCAAGUCUGCUGUCAAAGGUUGGGGCUUAACCCCAAAAAGGCAGUGGAAACUGAGAAGCUAGAGUGCAGUAGGGGUAGAGGGAAUUCCCGGUGUAGCGGUGAAAUGCGUAGAGAUCAGGAAGAACAUCGGUGGCGAAGGCGCUCUGCUGGACCAUAACUGACACUCAGGGACGAAAGCUAGGGGAGCGAAUGGGAUUAGAUACCCCAGUAGUCC